AGCGAACGCUGGCGGCAGGCCUAACACAUGCAAGUCGAACGAACCCUUCGGGGUUAGUGGCGGACGGGUGAGUAACACGUGGGAACGUGCCUUUAGGUUCGGAAUAACUCAGGGAAACUUGUGCUAAUACCGAAUGUGUCCUUCGGGGGAAAGAUUUAUCGCCUUUAGAGCGGCCCGCGUCUGAUUAGCUAGUUGGUGGGGUAAAGGCUCACCAAGGCUACGAUCAGUAGCUGGUCUGAGAGGAUGACCAGCCACAUUGGGACUGUGACACGGCCAAAACUCCUACGGGAGGCAGCAGUGGGGAAUCUUGCGCAAUGGGCGAAAGCCUGACGCAGCCAUGCCGCGUGGAUGAUGAAGGUCUUAGGAUUGUAAAAUCCUUUCACCGGUGAAGAUAAUGACUGUAGCCGGAGAAGAAGCCCCGGCUAACUCCGUGCCAGCCGCCGCAGUAACAC
rnacentral:rRNA from 1 species